rnacentral:rRNA from 1 species
CCUGCCAGUAGUCAUAUGCUUGUCUCAAAGAUUAAGCCAUGCAUGUCUAAGUACAUGCCGUAUUAAGGCGAAACCGCGAAUGGCUCAUUAAAUCAGUUAUGGUUCCUUGGAUCGUACCUUACUACUUGGAUAACUGUGGUAAUUCUAGAGCUAAUACAUGCAGCAGAGCUCCGACCUUCGGGAACGAGCGCUUUUAUUAGAACAAAACCGACCGGACUCUGUCCGUACUUUGUGGUGACUCUGAAUAACUUUGGGCUGAUCGCACGGGCCCGUCCCGGCGACGUAUCUUUCAAGUGUCUGCCUUAUCAACUUUCGAUGGUAGGUUACGCGCCUACCAUGGUCGUAACGGGUAACGGGGAAUCAGGGUUCGAUUCCGGAGAGGGAGCCUGAGAAACGGCUACCACAUCCAAGGAAGGCAGCAGGCGCGCAAAUUACCCACUCCCAGAACGGGGAGGUAGUGACGAAAAAUAACAAUACGGGACUCUUUUGAGACCCCGUAAUUGGAAUGAGUACACUCUAAAUCCUUUAACGAGGAUCCAUUGGAGGGCAAGUCUGGUGCCAGCCGCCGCGGUAACUCCAGCUCCAAUAGCGUAUAUUAAAGUUGUUGCGGUUAAAAAGCUCGUAGUUGGAUCUCAGUUCCAGACGGGUGGUCCGCCUACCGGUGGUUACUGCCUGUUCUGAACAGCCAGCCGGUUUCUCUUGAUGAUCUUCACCGGUUGUCUUGGGUGACCGGCAAGUUUACUUUGAAAAAAUUAGAGUGCUCAAAGCAGGCGCGACGCCUGAAUAAUGGUGCAUGGAAUAAUGGAAUAGGACCUCGGUUCUAUUUUGUUGGUUUUCGGAACACGAGGUAAUGAUUAAGAGGGACAGACGGGGGCAUUCGUAUUGCGACGCUAGAGGUGAAAUUCUUGGACCGUCGCAGGACGAACUACU